rnacentral:rRNA from 1 species
GGGCGACGGUUGUCCCGGUUUAAGCGUGUAGGUGUGUGUUCCAGGUAAAUCCGGUUCACUUUAACACUGAGGCGUGAUGACGAGGCACUACGGUGCUGAAGCAACAAAUGCCCUGCUUCCAGGAAAAGCCUCUAAGCAUCAGGUAACAUCAAAUCGUACCCCAAACCGACACAGGUGGUCAGGUAGAGAAUACCAAGGCGCUUGAGAGAACUCGGGUGAAGGAACUAGGCAAAAUGGUGCCGUAACUUCGGGAGAAGGCACGCUGACACGUAGGUGAAGUGAUUUACUCAUGGAGCUGAAGUCAGUCGAAGAUACCAGCUGGCUGCAACUGUUUAUUAAAAACACAGCACUGUGCAAACACGAAAGUGGACGUAUACGGUGUGACGCCUGCCCGGUGCCGGAAGGUUAAUUGAUGGGGUCAGCGCAAGCGAAGCUCCUGAUCGAAGCCCCGGUAAACGGCGGCCGUAACUAUAACGGUCCUAAGGUAGCGAAAUUCCUUGUCGGGUAAGUUCCGACCUGCACGAAUGGCGUAAUGAUGGCCAGGCUGUCUCCACCCGAGACUCAGUGAAAUUGAACUCGCUGUGAAGAUGCAGUGUACCCGCGGCAAGACGGAAAGACCCCGUGAACCUUUACUAUAGCUUGACACUGAACAUUGAGCCUUGAUGUGUAGGAUAGGUGGGAGGCUUUGAAGCGUGGACGCCAGUCUGCGUGGAGCCGACCUUGAAAUACCACCCUUUAAUGUUUGAUGUUCUAACGUGGACCCGUAAUCCGGGUUGCGGACAGUGUCUGGUGGGUAGUUUGACUGGGGCGGUCUCCUCCUAAAGAGUAACGGAGGAGCACGAAGGUUGGCUAAUCCUGGUCGGACAUCAGGAGGUUAGUGCAAUGGCAUAAGCCAGCUUGACUGCGAGCGUGACGGCGCGAGCAGGUGCGAAAGCAGGUCAUAGUGAUCCGGUGGUUCUGAAUGGAAGGGCCAUCGCUCAACGGAUAAAAGGUACUCCGGGGAUAACAGGCUGAUACCGCCCAAGAGUUCAUAUCGACGGCGGUGUUUGGCACCUCGAUGUCGGCUCAUCACAUCCUGGGGCUGAAGUAGGUCCCAAGGGUAUGGCUGUUCGCCAUUUAAAGUGGUACGCGAGCUGGGUUUAGAACGUCGUGAGACAGUUCGGUCCCUAUCUGCCGUGGGCGCUGGAGAACUGAGGGGGGCUGCUCCUAGUACGAGAGGACCGGAGUGGACGCAUCACUGGUGUUCGGGUUGUCAUGCCAAUGGCACUGCCCGGUAGCUAAAUGCGGAAGAGAUAAGUGCUGAAAGCAUCUAAGCACGAAACUUGCCCCGAGAUGAGUUCUCCCUGAGACUUAGAGUCUCCUGAAGGAACGUUGAAGACGACGACGUUGAUAGGCCGGGUGUGUAAGCGCAGCGAUGCGUUGAGCUAACCGGUACUAAUGAACCGUGAGGCUUAACCUUACAACGCCGAAG